rnacentral:tRNA from 1 species
GGUAAAAUGGCUGAAUAUAGGCAAUAAACUGUAAAUUUAUUUAUGAAAUAUAAUUUCUUUUACCA